rnacentral:lncRNA from 1 species
AACUAAAAAAGAGUUUUCAUUUCUGAAACUUGUGUUGACACAGCAGAUUAUGCCUUUGCUCAUGGUAUUCUACAGAGUGGAAGGGUCACCAUGAAGAACCAAGAUGGGCUUUUCUAAAACAGAAGAAAAUAGAACAGGACAGAGUCCCACACAGAGAUUUGGGUCUUUUCCUCCUCCUUAUCCCCUGGAUCCAAAUAUGAGCAUGGAGGCGUGUCCAGGCUGUGAUACACAUGUGUGUGAAAGAACACUGACAGAGAUCAAUUUGCUCCCUCCCUCAGAAGAGUCCUGGGGCCCAGCAGUCUCUUGGAAGCCAGAACCCUUACGCACUGGGCUGGUUCAACAACUUACAGACGGGGAUAAGGAAUAAAACAAUGGAAGCAGCCAAUCCUGAGUCAGAAGUUGUCUCCACUCUGAGGAGAGCCACAUUCUGGGCAUUUACCUGUCUCUGUGGAAAAGAUUUGGUGAGAAAGAAAUUGAGGGGGAUCUCAGAAGCUGGAAAUAUCUCCCCAUGCUCAUGGAUUUAGAAGAUUAACAUAGUGAAAAUGGCCAUCUUACUCAUUGAUAAGUGGAUAUUAGCCAAAAAGCUCAAAUUAAACAAGAUGCAAUCCACAGACCCCAGGAAGCUCAAGAAGAAGGAUGACCAAAAUGCAGAAGCUCCCACUCCUUCUUAAAAGGGGGAAAAGAUAUCCAUAGGAGGGAAUAUGGAAGUAAAGUUUAGAGCAGCGACUCAGGAAACAGCCAUUCAGAGCUUGCCCCACAUGUGGCCCAUAUAUAUAUAUAUAUAUAUAU